rnacentral:rRNA from 1 species
AACGCUAGCUACAGGCUUAACACAUGCAAGUCGAGGGGCAUCAGGAAGAAAGCUUGCUUUCUUUGCUGGCGACCGGCGCACGGGUGAGUAACACGUAUCCAACCUGCCCUUUACUCGGGGAUAGCCUUUCGAAAGAAAGAUUAAUACCCGAUGGCAUAAUGAUUCCGCAUGGUUUCAUUAUUAAAGGAUUCCGGUAAAGGAUGGGGAUGCGUUCCAUUAGGUUGUUGGUGAGGUAACGGCUCACCAAGCCUUCGAUGGAUAGGGGUUCUGAGAGGAAGGUCCCCCACAUUGGAACUGAGACACGGUCCAAACUCCUACGGGAGGCAGCAGUGAGGAAUAUUGGUCAAUGGGCGCUAGCCUGAACCAGCCAAGUAGCGUGAAGGAUGAAGGCUCUAUGGGUCGUAAACUUCUUUUAUAUAAGAAUAAAGUGCAGUAUGUAUACUGUUUUGUAUGUAUUAUAUGAAUAAGGAUCGGCUAACUCCGUGCCAGCAGCCGCGGUAAUACGGAGGAUCCGAGCGUUAUCCGGAUUUAUUGGGUUUAAAGGGAGCGUAGGUGGACUGGUAAGUCAGUUGUGAAAGUUUGCGGCUCAACCGUAAAAUUGCAGUUGAUACUGUCAGUCUUGAGUACAGUAGAGGUGGGCGGAAUUCGUGGUGUAGCGGUGAAAUGCUUAGAUAUCACGAAGAACUCCGAUUG